rnacentral:rRNA from 1 species
AUGCCGCCGCAGUUCCCCGCCGGCAGCGCCCGGCCCUCCUCCGCCUCGGCCGCGCCCGCCGGCGGCGUAAAGAGGCCGUCUUUGCCCCCCACCACCUCCCUCUCCCCGCCGCCGACCAAGAAGAUCGCCCGCCCGGCCUCCGCGCCCUGCCUCCCCGCGCUCUCCAAGAAGGUCCCCCCUCGCCCGGUGCCUUCCACCGCGCCCAGGCCGCGGCCGCCGCAGCCCCCGCCGUCGGCCUCGUCGGCGGCGAGGGCCGCCGGGCCGCCCAAGAAGACGGCGCAGCGCCCGGCGGCAGAGGCGGAGGCGGCCCCGGGCCGCGCGGCCGAGAGCGUGCACCCGGCGCGGCGGCUGGCGUGCGGGACGGCCGUGUACGUGCGCACGCGCUACUACGUGGUGAUCGCCGACGGGACCGGCAGGUGCUGCCUCCUCAUCUGGCUGCCGGCCCGGGUCGUCUCCUCCUCCGACGCCUACCACUGCAGCGUCAAGUACGCCGCCGACCUCCACGCCAUGUUCGCCGGCAAGAUCGUCCGCGUCCCCGUCACCGACGUCCGCGUCGCGCCCAGCCACCGUCCCUCCGCCGCCCCCGCCACCGCCAAGGCCGCCCAGAGCCAGAGGCCCCAACAACAAGCGCCCUGA